rnacentral:sRNA from 1 species
UGUUUGAGCUUUCGUUAGCAGCUCAGCCCAAGUUGGAAAUUUAGUUUUUGAAAUGAAAUUUAAGUAUCAAAGCAAACACUCAGCUCUCAAAAUAAUUAAAAGUAUUGCACGAAAUUUGGCAAAAGCACUGACUAAAUCAUUCUUUUAUCUGGGCACCCCAACACUUUGUCCCGCACAGCAGUUGGCCCUGGUCAGCUGCUUCCAUCCGCACUACAGCAUCUCGUAUUGGUCUCAUUGUCAUCUGUGUGCGUGUCGUAAUGCUGGACACAUUUCUGUAUGUGCUCUAUGAGUUCCUCAAGUACGUUUUCCCGAUACGCAUCCUCAAUGAACUCGACGAUCUGGUAUUGCCCAGCGA